GCGUAGCUGCAGUCGAGCGAAUGGAUUAAGAGCUUGCUCUUAUGAAGUUAGCGGCGGACGGGUGAGUAACACGUGGGUAACCUGCCCAUAAGACUGGGAUAACUCCGGGAAACCGGGGCUAAUACCGGAUAACAUUUUGAACUGCAUGGUUCGAAAUUGAAAGGCGGCUUCCGCUGUCACUUAUGGAUGGACCCGCGUCGCAUUAGCUAGUUGGUGAGGUAACGGCUCACCAAGGCAACGAUGCGUAGCCGACCUGAGAGGGUGAUCGGCCACACUGGGACUGAGACACGGCCCACACUCCUACGGGAGGCAGCAGUAGGGAAUCUUCCGCAAUGGACGAAAGUCUGACGGAGCAACGCCGCGUGAGUGAUGAAGGCUUUCGGGUCGUAAAACUCUGUUGUUAGGGAAGAACGAGUGCUAUUUGAAUAAGCUGGCACCUUGACGGUACCUAACCAGAAAGCCACGGCUAACUACGUGCCAGCAGCCGCGGUAAUACGUAGGUGGCAAGCGUUAUCCGGAAUUAUUGGGCGUAAAGCGCGCGCAGGUGGUUUCUUAAGUCUGAUGUGAAAGCCCACGGCUCAACCGUGGAGGGUCAUUGGAAACUGGGAGACUUGAGUGCGGAAGAGGAAAGUGGAAUUCCAUGUGUAGCGGUGAAAUGCGUAGAGAUAUGGAGGAACACCAGUGGCGCAGGCGACUUUCUAGUCUGUAACUGACACUGAGGCGCGAAAGCGUGCGGGACCCACCAGGAUUACAUACCCUGGUAGUCCA
rnacentral:rRNA from 1 species